rnacentral:rRNA from 2 species
AUCAGGUAACACGAAAUCGUACCCCAAACCGACACAGGUGGUCAGGUAGAGAAUACCAAGGCGCUUGAGAGAACUCGGGUGAAGGAACUAGGCAAAAUGGUGCCGUAACUUCGGGAGAAGGCACGCUGACACGUAGGUGAAGUGAUUUACUCAUGGAGCUGAAGUCAGUCGAAGAUACCAGCUGGCUGCAACUGUUUAUUAAAAACACAGCACUGUGCAAACACGAAAGUGGACGUAUACGGUGUGACGCCUGCCCGGUGCCGGAAGGUUAAUUGAUGGGGUCAGCGUAAGCGAAGCUCCUGAUCGAAGCCCCGGUAAACGGCGGCCGUAACUAUAACGGUCCUAAGGUAGCGAAAUUCCUUGUCGGGUAAGUUCCGACCUGCACGAAUGGCGUAAUGAUGGCCAGGCUGUCUCCACCCGAGACUCAGUGAAAUUGAACUCGCUGUGAAGAUGCAGUGUACCCGCGGCAAGACGGAAAGACCCCGUGAACCUUUACUAUAGCUUGACACUGAACAUUGAGCCUUGAUGUGUAGGAUAGGUGGGAGGCUUUGAAGUGUGGACGCCAGUCUGCAUGGAGCCGACCUUGAAAUACCACCCUUUAAUGUUUGAUGUUCUAACGUGGACCCGUAAUCCGGGUUGCGGACAGUGUCUGGUGGGUAGUUUGACUGGGGCGGUCUCCUCCUAAAGAGUAACGGAGGAGCACGAAGGUUGGCUAAUCCUGGUCGGACAUCAGGAGGUUAGUGCAAUGGCAUAAGCCAGCUUGACUGCGAGCGUGACGGCGCGAGCAGGUGCGAAAGCAGGUCAUAGUGAUCCGGUGGUUCUGAAUGGAAGGGCCAUCGCUCAACGGAUAAAAGGUACUCCGGGGAUAACAGGCUGAUACCGCCCAAGAGUUCAUAUCGACGGCGGUGUUUGGCACCUCGAUGUCGGCUCAUCACAUCCUGGGGCUGAAGUAGGUCCCAAGGGUAUGGCUGUUCGCCAUUUAAAGUGGUACGCGAGCUGGGUUUAGAACGUCGUGAGACAGUUCGGUCCCUAUCUGCCGUGGGCGCUGGAGAACUGAGGGGGGCUGCUCCUAGUACGAGAGGACCGGAGUGGACGCAUCACUGGUGUUCGGGUUGUCAUGCCAAUGGCACUGCCCGGUAGCUAAAUGCGGAAGAGAUAAGUGCUGAAAGCAUCUAAGCACGAAACUUGCCCCGAGAUGAGUUCUCCCUGAGACUUAGAGUCUCCUGAAGGAACGUUGAAGACGACGACGUUGAUAGGCCGGGUGUGUAAGCGCAGCGAUGCGUUGAGCUAACCGGUACUAAUGAACCGUGAGGCUUAACCUUACA